UAUACAUACAUAUAUAUAUAUAUAUGUAUUCUAAUGCUACUAUCCUAUUAAUAGAAUAGGAGCACUUAUCCUAUCAAGUUGUUCUUUAUGAUCGAGAUUCCGAAUCGAUGAUCAGAGCUGUUGAAGUUGAUCUAGAGUAUUUGAAAUAUCUAGAAACUAAAUUUCAUAAAUUUUGAUAAUGGUUUACAUGGCGAUCAAAGUGUCGUAAAAUCGACAAUUUUUUACGGCUUAUAUGAACCGUUUGCUUGUUUAACGGUGUAGAGCAAUCCAAAUUGCUUGAAUUUUUAAUAGAAAAUUUUUUAUACUAUUUAGAUAAUGUUUGAUAACUCUAAUUACAAACUGAGAAGUCUAAUCUCUAUUUUAAGAAGGUUAUUCAUUUAUGACCGUUCAUUUUUCAACUCUUAAGAUGAACUUGAUAAUGAUUUUUAAAUAAUACAAAAUUUGGUUUCUAAACAUUUCUAAUUGUGUAGAUCAACUUCAACGGUGCCGAUUAUCAAUUUGAAGUUCCGAUCAUUCAAAUCGAUUUGAUAGGACAAAGGUCCCAAUCCUAUUAAUAGGAUAGUAGCCGGACCCUACAUAUAUAUAUAUAUAUAUAUAUAUAUAUAUAUACAUGCAUGCGCAUAUACAUAUAUAGAGAGAGAGAGAGAGUAGAGUUAGAGCCCAGAGCUUUUCGUACUCAUAAGUUAUUUUCAAUAAUGAAACUUUCAAAUUAACGAUCAACUCCAUUAAAUAUGAGCUAAAGUAUUUAAAAUUUCUAAAAAAUAAAUUUUGUAAUUUUUUAAAAUUAUAAUAAAAUCUAUCAAGCUGGCAUAAAAUGAAUGGUCAAAAUUGAACAAUGUUCUAAAAAUAGAUGAUCGGAUCCUUCAAUUUAAAAUUAUAAUUAUUGAUCUUUAUCUAGACAGUGAAUAGAAUUUUCUAUAAAAAAAUCAAUAUAUUUCAAUUCUUUUACACUGUUAAACUAAUAGAUAUUUCAUACCGGCCGUUAAAAAUUAUCAAUUUUGUGAUAUUUUGAUCGUAAGGUGAAUAAUGCCAAAAAAUUAUAAAAUUAAAUUUUUAAAAAAUUUAAAUGCUCUAGAUAAUGUAUGGAAUCAUCGAUUUGGAAGUGAAAGUUUUGAGGAGCCCAAGGAUCUAUCUAGAUUGUAUCUAUCACCUAGAGGGGGGGGUGAAUAGGUGAAAGGCCAAAAACCACAAAUCUCGAUGCAAUAAAAUAAAUGCGGAAAAUAAAAAGCACACCGAGAUUUAUGUGGGAAAACUCCAACUUGGAGAAAAACCCACGGGACCAACACGUGAAAAAACAAUUCACUAAGAGAAAAGAU
rnacentral:lncRNA from 1 species